rnacentral:misc_RNA from 1 species
GUAGGUGAACCUGCGGAAGGAUCAUUAAAACGAACCUUCGGGGGUAGGACCCAAAAUUUGGCACACUAUCGUCGAGCCCACGUUCCCCGAUAUCCAUCUUUUGACCUGCCCUGUCUGAACAUACCCAUGAUUUUGCGUACUAUUUGUUUCCUCGGUGGGCUUGCCCACCGCUAGGACAACUAAAACCCUUUUGUAAUUGCAGUCAGCGUCAGAAACAAAUAAUUAUUACAACUUUCAACAACGGAUCUCUUGGUUCUG